rnacentral:rRNA from 1 species
AUGGAUAUGAAAAAUGUGCGCCUGUGUGACCCACUAGAUCCAAUCGAAUGCCUCGCAAUCCAUCUAAAAAAAUUGGUGUUUGAAAAUUACAAAGGCCGUGACCAAGAUGCUGACUUUGCCAAAUUCUUUAUUUUGAACGCAAAAGUGCUGAAGGAAAUCAAAAUUUCAAGCCCUAAGGGCAACGAUAUUCAAUGGGUGGACGAUCAACACAGGCUGCUACAAGUGGAAGAUAGAGCUUCUCGAGAUGCUGAACCUGAAUUUAGAAGUGAGUUUAGCUGUUUGGGUAAAACCAAACAGAUUCAUGAUUUAUUGGAUAAUCCCUUCGACUGCUCGUGUUCUAGAAUUAAAUGCAAUGUUCUUUCAGGUGAAGCAUGUCCAUGA